UUCUGCACAAACGGACCUGACCUUCACACAUUGCACAGUGAGGAACCAGAGACACCUCGGUACCUGAAGGGGGGGCUGUCCCUCCUGUCCUCUGUGCAGAUCGAGGGCCACCCUGUCUCCCUCCCUUUGCACCUCCAUUCUGUCUCAUGUUCCCCCUCAGACCAGGGACCAAGCCCCUGGGGCCUGCUGGACUCCCUUGUGUGUCCAAAGGAUGAGGGUCCAGUGGCUGAGACUGAGGCCAUACUCCCCAGUGCUGUGGCCUCUGAGCUGGAGCAGUCCACAGAACUGGACUCACUUUUCAAAGGCUUGGCCCUAACUGUGCAAUGGGAAUCCUGAAGGGAAAUCGGAGCGAGCAGGCCUAGGCUUCCUCCUGCCCCACCCAGCUAACGACCCCUCACCCAGUAAGCCACAGGUUCUAAGGCCCAGCCCCACAUGGGUUCCCUAGAGAGAAUGAGAGGGAGAUUUGGGCCCCAUGUGGGAAUCCAGAUGUAUGGUGAAGACUCUAGUGGAGAAGUAACAGGCAGGGGGCAUGUGCAAAUGGCCUGUGGCACAGAGCCCAGCAGACAGGACAGAGUGAGGUAAUGCAGGGAAAUCUGGAGAGCCAUCCAAGCUCCCUAAUCUAGUUUAACCAAGAGUGAGGUGUCCACCAUCUCCGAAGGAUCUUGGACUGGAAGGUGGGGGGCCAAGCAUACUAGGCACUUUGGCCGAGCAGCAGCAAGA
rnacentral:lncRNA from 1 species